rnacentral:rRNA from 1 species
AAAACGACUCUCGGCAACAGAUAUCUCGGCUCUCGCAUCGAUGAAGAAUGUAGCGAACUGCGAUACUUGGUGUGAAUUGCAGAAUCCCGUGAACCAUCGAGUCUUUGAACGCAAGUUGCGCCCGAAGCCAUUAGGCCGAGGGCACGUCUGCCUGGGCGUCACGC